rnacentral:lncRNA from 1 species
AAAUGAAUUUUUGAAAGAGAAUUCUGAGUUUAAGUUCAAAAUUAUCUGAACAAUCAUUAUUUUGGAUGUUGAUAUCCCAUUUAAACAGUCAAAGUAUUUUGCCUUUAUUCACCUUUGAUUUGUUAUAAAGACUUAUUUUUUUUAUUCUUUACCAAAUGUACAUCCCCUGAAUGAAUCAAGAAAAUGUCUCAUGUCUGUCACUAAUUUGAAUGAUGGUAAAUAAAUGAAUGACAAUGUUCAUAAAG